rnacentral:rRNA from 1 species
UAGUUGGUGGGGUAAAGGCCUACCAAGGCGACGAUCAGUAGCGGGUCUGAGAGGAUGAUCCGCCACACUGGGACUGAGACACGGCCCAGACUCCUACGGGAGGCAGCAGUGGGGAAUUUUGGACAAUGGGGGCAACCCUGAUCCAGCCAUUCCGCGUGAGUGAAGAAGGCCUUCGGGUUGUAAAGCUCUUUCAGCUGGAACGAAACGGUACGUCCUAAUACGGUGUGCUAAUGACGGUACCAGCAGAAGAAGCACCGGCUAACUACGUGCCAGCAGCCGCGGUAAUACGUAGGGUGCGAGCGUUAAUCGGAAUUACUGGGCGUAAAGCGUGCGCAGGCGGAUUGUUAAGCAAGAUGUGAAAUCCCCGGGCUUAACCUGGGAAUGGCAUUUUGAACUGGCAGUCUAGAGUGUGUCAGAGGGGGGUGGAAUUCCACGUGUAGCAGUGAAAUGCGUAGAGAUGUGGAGGAACACCAAUGGCGAAGGCAGCCCCCUGGGAUAACACUGACGCUCAUGUACGAAAGCGUGGGUAGCAAACAGGAUUAGAUACCCUGGUAGUCCACGCCCUAAACGAUGUCAACUGGUUGUUGGGGGAGUGAAAUCCCUUAGUAACGAAGCUAACGCGUGAAGUUGACCGCCUGGGGAGUACGGUCGCAAGAUUAAAACUCAAAGGAAUUGACGGGGACCCGCACAAGCGGUGGAUGAUGUGGAUUAAUUCGAUGCAACGCGAAAAACCUUACCUACCCUUGACAUGUCCAGAACCCUGCAGAGAUGCGGGGGUGCCCGAAAGGGAAUUGGAACACAGGUGCUGCAUGGCUGUCGUCAGCUCGUGUCGUGAGAUGUUGGGUUAAGUCCCGCAACGAGCGCAACCCUUAUCAUUAGUUGCUACGCAAGGGCACUCUAAUGAGACUGCCGG